rnacentral:rRNA from 1 species
ACGAACGCUGGCGGCGUGCCUAACACAUGCAAGUCGAACGAGAAAUCUUGACCGGAGCCUUCGGGUGAAGGGAGAGAUGGACAGUGGCGGACGGGCGAGUAACGCGUGAGUAACCUGCCCAUAAGUGAGGGAUAGCCCUUGGAAACGAGGAGUAAUACCUUAUAUAGUAUAUUAAUCGCAUGAUAGAUAUAUGAAAGAUUUAUUGCUUAUGGAUGGACUCGCGUCUGAUUAGAUAGUUGGCGGGGUAACGGCCCACCAAGUCGACGAUCAGUAGCCGAACUGAGAGGUUGAUCGGCCGCAUUGGGACUGAGACACGGCCCAGACUCCUACGGGAGGCAGCAGUGGGGAAUAUUGCGCAAUGGGGGAAACCCUGACGCAGCAACGCCGCGUGCAGGAAGAAGGUCUUCGGAUUGUAAACUGUUGUCGCAGGGGAAGAAAAAGAUGACGGUACCCUGUGAGAAAGUCACGGCUAACUACGUGCCAGCAGCCGCGGUAAUACGUAGGUGACAAGCGUUGUCCGGAUUUACUGGGUGUAAAGGGCGCGUAGGCGGGAUAGCAAGUCAGGAGUGAAAUGCCGAUGCUCAACAUCGGAACUGCUUUUGAAACUGUUAUUCUUGAGUAUCGGAGAGGAAAGCGGAAUUCCCAGUGUAGCGGUGAAAUGCGUAGAUAUUGGGAGGAACACCAGUGGCGAAGGCGGCUUUCUGGACGACAACUGACGCUGAGGCGCGAAAGUGUGGGGAGCAAACAGGAUUA